CCUGAGAGAGAAAAGAAGGAAAAAUGUUAAAAUUUCUUCUGUUUCAGUCAUGUCCUGAACAGCUUGAAGACUAUGUGGCAGUAGAAGAGCUGUUGUAUAGCAAAACCCUAACUGUAACUCUUUUUUUGCAAUGUGAAAAGUGCUGACUGGUUUUAGCUGGCCAGAAGAUAUGAUCUGAUGCACUGCUGUCUGCGAUCACCUGCUGUCACGACUGGUCGGACCUGGAUGGGAUUAGAAGCCUCGUGCUCUGCUGGAGGCCUGGCAAAUGUAUAAAUGAGGAAGUCCUGCUGCAGUAAAAUACUUCUGGAACUGCAGCGAUCAGCUCUUGAAUUGUACCACCGGAAACCUAAGCGAGAAGACAACAUAAGAUGGUCAUCGUGCAGGUAGGCUUGCUCAAACUGAAAGGAUACGCUGUCUCACUGUGCUAGAGAACAGUGUUCUCCACACGCCUGUCUGUCCUUUAAAACUUGUUAAGGCCACAUUACCUCGUAGUUAUCUAGCAGAGUUUUCGAUGGGGAAGGGCUCAACCUGAAGGCGUUGUUAAGUAUGCCAAGACCCAGUUUUUGUGCUAGGGUAGACCAGUUUUUGUCUGGAUCAGGUGCUUCUAACAGUUUGUAAAGCUGCAUCUUGGAGCGUUCAUUCAGCGCUCUCAUAUGUCCUAGGGAACAGAGAAAGACGUUAGUUUAUUAUUUACACAAAUCAUGCACCAGUUCAUCUCUAAGCAGAAACAAAGCCAUAUUAGGGAGGUACCUAUUUUAGUGUCCAUCAAUCACAGUAUUUACUAUUAUGUAACUGUAAUAGUAAAAAUGUACUACUUUGUGUCUUUGUGACCUACCUCUAAACAGAAUCAUGCUCCUUUUAUAAAUCUGUGUGGGCUUUCUUUCCCUUCCCCCUUUCAUAAUUCCACUUACAAGCUUAUUGCAGAGCAACACUUUCUUUUGCAAGUACACUUUCAGUACUCAGCUGUUAAUUACUAGAGGGUUAUUGUCUGAUAUUCUUUAUAGAUGUUACCUUGUGUCAGUAAGUCCUCGGAAACCACUGCUGACUCAUAGGGCUUGCCAUUUAAUAUGUCAUACACCUAAAAGAAUUAAGUAUAAUUAAUAUUUAGAAGAAACCUGGUUAUUGUUUAUUAUCUUUAAAAGUCUCAGUAGUGUUGUCUAAAACACUAUUUACAGAUGAAAAUAGGCAAUUUUUCUGUCCCAGGAUCAGUAUGACUAAAAGUACUGCAGAAGACCUGUGCAAAGCUUGAGGGUGAAACCUUGAGAACUUAAUCUCCCUUGCACUUUAGCUAUGUUAUCUGGCACAUGAUAAUGUGUUUUCAAGGUAUGGAGGAAGUCUUUGCAGUACAUAACGCCUGCUUAGACAGCUAGAUUUUAUCUGCCUGCAACAAGUAAUUUAAAACAAAGCAUGGUUUAGAUUUUCACCUAAGGCACCACUUCCCACCCCAGCUCCACGUGAUCAGAGAUGCUGACUGCUUGUGCCUUACGCUCACAUCUAAAUAGCUGCACACAUUCAGAUACUAAAGCAUCUAUGCAUAGGGAAAACAGGCUUUAGUGUCCUAGCCAAAGCAUCUAAUUUUGAAGAACAUGCAGCAAAGAAACCUGCUACAAGUGUCUCACCCUGAAUAUGUACCUUAAAAUACAUGCCGCCCAAUCAGCUAAAUACUUUCCCCUCUUCAAGACUCUAGCGCAACUAUUUCAGGAAGUGUCUGGUUAUUCCUGUCUUAGUUUAAGCAGUCUGUUAAGUGGAACUUUCUGCCAACGCUGUUUCAUGAUUUUUGGUAGCUUGCUUAGUUUAUUUUUUGACAGCACUUUAGGAGCCCUGGUAAACUUGUCACCAUUGAAAUAACUAUGGACCACGAAACAAAUUCGCUGAGAGCUGAAGCGUUGUUUAGCAUUCAAAAAAAGAGAAGAGAUCCAGACCACGUACCUCGCAGUUGGCUGCCAUAUCCAGUGGUGUCGUUCCAGGCACAAUUCCUUCAUCGUCAUCUUUUACAUCCUCUAGAUCAAACAAUGGCUCAAAAUUCUCAAUAUGAGGAUUUGCACCUGGCAAAUGAGCAUUGAAAAAAAUCCCAUAAAAGGUUUUGGCUUGCUUUUCAGCAGCAUUUAAAACACACAUUCUAAAUUCUGAAUGGCAAAUCUCUUACUAACACUUAAGCUUGACUUUUCCAUUAAGUUAACAAAUAGAAUUUUUUUUUGUAUCCACUAAAAAUUUAAAUGCUGUCAUGUCUCUGUAUAGCACUGCUGUCUCCAUUAUAUAGAUGGAAAACAUCAAAAGCCAGGCCAAAGAAAGAACUAUGCUUACAUAUAAAAUGGUUUUCAGUCCCAUUCUUGGCUCAGACAGAGCAUGUGUGAUGAAGCAGUGGGUUGAUGCUUCUUUUCUUUAGUCAGAGAAAGUGUGAGUAUUAUUUAAAGACCGAGCACACCACCCGGGGAACGGGAGGCUUGGCUUUCUAUUUCAGAAGCAAAAAAACAGGUAUAAUGGAUCUAAAUAGAGAAUGGGAAAGAAUGUGGCAGUAAACGCUCAAAACUUAUUCUGUUGCUACAGUGAAAUGAAAUAGGAGACAUUAAAAACAAAGAAAGAAAAACAUUACUGAAAUACGACUUUCUUAAAGUAGCCCGACACUUGUCUCCACUGUAUAAGGAGGUCUAUUCUCUGCUUCUUUAGAUGCAAGAAUUUAUAAAAGAAAUACUCAAACUUCUAAAUAAGUGUUUGAGAGAUUUGUUUCUCGACUAAUACAAUUUGUUUCAUAGCCAUUAGAUGGUGCUAAAGAGUAGCACAGCCUUGGGAAGUGGGACUUGCGACCACAAACAAACCUUCAUGCUUUUAACAUCUGAUUUCUUCUGCUUGUUAAAUAAGUUCACUGGCACAUUUGUUUCUGUGCACAACUUUCUAAUCUGAAUUCGCAGUGUAAAAUACAACUCCUAGAAAAUACAUAUUGUCAUACCUGCUGCUUUGAGAAGUGCUGCCAGUUUUGUAGAGCCCCUUCCAGCUGCUAUGUGAAGAGGAGUUGUUCCAUCAUAUGUAGUGCUGUCCACAUCUGCAUCACCCUAAGUUUUUAUUGAAAGAGAAGAGCAGCGCUAUUUGUGUAUACAGUGCAGCUGUAGAGACUUAUGUCUGCAUAAACAUUAUUACUGUGUAACUAUGCACCAUUCUGUGCCUGUGCGCACAAUACUUCUAAUCAUUGCUUGGAAAGAAGGAAUUAGAAAGUAACUACAACUGUCUGCAUGCAGCAACAGAUGAUCGUUUUGUGCUCCAAUAUUACAGCAGGAAGCAUAGCCUAAAAACCCAAUUCGGGUUAGGUAGAUAAAACACAAAAGCUACUUUGCAGCCUGUAUAAUACUUCUAUCAUCUAAUUACCCACAGUGGUUGGAGCCUGAGCUCGUGUGCACUGAAACUACCUUCCUGCUGCUCUUUGGGAGAGAAGGGAGGCUAGUAACACGUUUGUAUGCAGACACCCACGAGAGCUGCGUAGAAUUAAGCACACCAGGAUCAAGGUGUUAAAGAGAUGAGACAAAUAUUUAUAGAUCUGCACAACUGUUACCCUGCACACAUCUGUACACGCGCUGCACUUCACAAAGAUGAAGCGAUUAACUUGUACGUGAGUAGUUUCACUGGCCUCUGGGAUUACUCAAUGCAAAUUAAACAUGGCACGUGCGGUCAGGGUCAUAAACUGUAAAUUCCUCAACUUAUGCAUAAGGUUCACUAGCAGAGCUGAACAAGUAAUAAUGAACAGCACUAGCAAUAAUUUUGCCAUUGUACUAAUUUAAGCAACCAAGUCAGUAAACAGAAAAAAGGCCCUAGUUUCUGUUACACUUAAUCACUUAAGAAUUUUAAAGCCUUAUUAAGUAUGUAAGUGAAAUGACCUGAAAAAAGAAAUUCUGCCCUCACCUCAAGCAAAAGGCAGCCUGCCAAAGGGAUGUUCUCUUGUUCAACAGCCAAAUGCAAUGCAGUUCGUCCAGAUUUCUGUUCCUGAGCAUUGAUGUUAACUCCAGCAGCAAUCAGCUGUCUGAGACAGGACACGCUAUUUGCCAUCACCACCAUAUGAACUGCAUUGAGACCUACGGUAAAACAAAACCCACCCAUCAUGUGUGUUAAUAUUUGCAAAAUUCAGAAAUGUCAGAAUAACAAGUUUUUUGAGUAGCCACAUCUAUAAGUCUGUGUAAGAUAACUGAGAGUUACUGUAGUUAUCUGAGCACCAGUGAUUUAUUUUGCUUGGCUGUGCACUAAAAGAUGAUAUUAAUAAAAAUGCUCUUUGUGCAUUAAUUGGGACUAGUUGUGUUACUGAUGGUGAAUCAAAGCCAUGCAUGAAAUAAAGAAAUACAAAAUCACAGCAAAUUGCAAUGUGGAAUGGAAGUGGGGGAAACUAAAGUGCUCAUCUACACCAUCUCUUUGCCUCAAAGGAAGAUCAGCCUUAAAAAAAAGUUGUGCAUCUUAGCACUUUAGUACUGAAUAAUGAGGUACCCUGCACUAGCCCCAUCUGCUACUGAACAAUCUCUUCUAGAAAUAUUCUGGGGAAUAACGGGUACAUUUUAGCGCCAUCUUCCUAUAAGGUCAUGCUGCCCUUUCACCUCAGAUUACCCUCACCAGCUCAAAAAAAGAGCAAAUUUUGCACUUGGGAAAAAAAAUCCUCUCUAAGGAACUUUGCAUGGGGCUUUGAAUCACAUACUGAAAUUUUUUAGCUCAGACAUUGUAGUCUACUAGCACAGGAGUACUAAAUUCAAAUUACCUGUGCGAUUGAAAAGUAGGAGAAUUGGGGCUUCGUGGAUAUCUUAUAGGCUCUAACUCUGUAUAGUGGCAACGUACCAGAUGUUAAACUUGACACUGGUCCAAGAAACAAUUUUUGAGGGGAUUUCAUGCACUAGAGAGGAAGAAACAUUUUCUUCUGAGGGGAUUUUUUUUUUUUUUUUGAAACAGUGGUUGCAUAAGGCAUUUGAGGAGGAACACAGUGCCUGAAAUUGUGACAAAAAAAAAAGCAGCUAAAAUUCAAAUCCACACUGUAUCACAUGGACAUUAGCAAGCCUUGUGUUCUGUAUAACCAGGAAUUCUGCACAGCUAUGUUCCCUCAUAUGUGACUGCAGGCAUGUAAAAGCCAACGGGUACCAGGGGCAAAUUUAGCAAAAGAUGCUAUUUCCCAUGUCUGUAUCCAUCUGUGUAUAAACACUGUGUUGUCAAAAAUGACUGUGCUUGUCCAGUAAGUAUACGAUACAGCCGUUAUUUUUCCAUACCUUCACCAUUGGAAAGGUCGACCAUCGGAGAUAUCUUCUUAUGCUUAAGGAGUAGACUCAAAAUCUUGUCGUCUCCUUCAGUAGCAGCUAAAUGUAAGACAGAAUUACCAUGUCGAUCCAGAAGGCUGACAUCUGCUCCAGCCGUAAGCAAGUCUUCUACCACCUCGGCCUGCUUUGUGAUGACUGCCAAGUGCAAGGGGGUCUAGAGGUGACAGAGAAGUCGUGAGAAGAUAAGCAACAGCUACAUCACUUCUACAAAAAUCUUUUAAACCAGUAAAAGCUCUUAGUAUGAGAAAAUCUUAUUCCACUUUGCAGCUAACAGAAGUGAAAAGCUGGCACGCAUACAUUUCUUUAUAGUGUAUGCUGCAAAUAAGGGUCCUCCUGAGAAGGAACAAAAGCCACCUUGGCCAAUGUCAGGAGUCAGACUGUGGGAGGCAGGCAAAUGUUGCCCAUUCUCUAGGCCAGGGGACUGAGCAGCUCCUCCAAGAGAGGCCGUGCCAGGGACUUGGGAAAUAGGAUGAUCGCUGGCACCCCAGACCCUCCAACCCUGCUUCCGCUGCCCUGUACCCAAGCUCCUGCUGUUGAGGAAGCAUGUGCCCUUUUCAGAGCCUGUUCAAAUCCUGCCUUUGCCACUGACCAUGCACUAACUCUGCUCCCAAAGGACUGGUUUACAGCCAUGGGUUUAGGAUUUCCUUCUCUCUCAAAAUGACUGCACAGAAAAUAAGAAAAACUUCUUGUUCUGUGCAAUUUGUCAAAGGGCAAAAGAACUGUAUUUAUGCAGCGUCUUGUCUAGCUAGCUGCUCUCUAUUUGUGUACAAAGACAUCUGCAGCACUGAGAGGUGCUUUCGGCUGAGAAGCUUUAAAUACCUCCAAUGCUUGAUUGUAUACUGCAUUCUUCAGUCUUGCCAGUAAACAGCAUCAUGUUUAAUAUUAUCAGAAAUGUAAUACAUGUGUUUAAACAGGAAACUGUCCCAGUAUGUGCUGGGAAUCAUAUUCCCAACACUGAAAAGAUCUAAAAAUUGCACAAGAUUAUAUCUACCUCCAUAUUGUUAUAAUAACAAACAGAGGUCUGUAGAAAAGGACUCAUUCCAAUUCUCAUAAUGUACAAUAGGCUUGUAUUUGUCAACAGAAUCAUUAACACAUUUGCAAUUAAUUACUGCCUCUGUAGGGUACAUGUAUGAUUCAGCUUUCAGAAUAGCUGUAUGGAAGGAAAAUCCUAGGCCAAGCAUGCAUUUCCUCCCACCACUGGCUUAACGUUUGAGUAGGAGGUAGGAAUAGCUACAGAAGCCCUGGUAGCUACAGAUUUCUUUCUUUUAUGGAGCACAGCUUUGCUUCCCAUUUCCAUCAAAUAGAGGAGACACAGAAUUAAAUUCAUAAUUUCCUGCUUGCUUUCAUCAGCCUCCACAUUUCGAAAUUCCUUUAUAAGAACAUAAAUAUGAAAUGUGGAAGAGAACAAGAAGUCAUAAUAAACCCUCUGGGAUUAUCAGUGUAGAAUGAAAUCCUGCCUUUGCCGUUCACAGCUCUGAGCCGAACGGGAAGAAACAGCACCAACGUCGGAGUGCUGCCCUAUAAUGUCCGGGUGGUUGGUCACCUUUGGGAGAACUGAAUGUGUUUUCAACACAGUUGAAAAGAGAUUCUUUUUUAGGCAGGUUUCCACAGCUCUUAUGAAAGCACCUCUGAGUUACAAUACAAAAUCCUAGGCUCUGUCACAGAUAAAGUUGGAGAGAGAGAGUUGUGUCUGACAAUUACCAGUUCGUUCCCCACUAGGUAAAAGACACGGUGAUGUGUUUUUUUGUUGUUUUGUUAAAAUGUGAACCAAGAAAUGAAAGGGAAAUCUUGACGCUCAUAGGACGGGCACAAAUGCCAGCUAGCCUACAGAAAAGGCAGAAUUUGUUACAGCUCCCACAUGCCUACGGAUAACUGGUGACACACCAACUGACUCGUGAACCUGAGUUAUCCUAUGUUAGAAAGGUCAAGAGAGACCCAAGCUGGCACACUGUAAUCUACACCACUGGUUCAACAGUAGGACAGCCAGCUAAUGAAGAAAUACACUGAAUAAUUUAGUAUUUUCAAUCUGUUCUACAAUAAGCACAUGGAGACAUUUCUGUUGGCAUCAAAGGGAGUUAUGGAUUAGAACAAUGAAAGCAGGCUCUUGCUUCUCCAGCACCUAACAUCAUGUCAUUAUGUCCCUCUCUCUAUGAAGGUCUAAAUUUGUUUGCACUACAGCCUGACCUGGGCUUACUCUGAUGAAUAAAGGAAAUAUAAGACAGACAGUAAGUUGCACAAAUUCUUCUUUGCUGGCUGAAUGAUCAAGAUCCCCUGUACCACCACAACAGCAUACCUGAUAGAGGUCAUUCCUCAUGUUGAUAACGUCAUUACAAUUCAAAUCUGGCACCACUUCUAAGAGGUUUUUCACCAGCUCAGUAUGAAGGUGGAUGAUUGCUAAAUGAAGGACGCUGAAACAAACAAACAGAAGAGCAGAUUAAUAAAUUCACUUUAUUUUCAAGUUUAUUGUACAAAUUUUAAGUCUUUGCUGUAGACCCGAUUGAAUUCUAACCAAUAUAAAUACCUGACCAUAAGAGGUUGUGGUUUCAGUACUAAACAUCAGCACCUAAAAUGAAUCUUAACAUAAAAAAUAUUUGUAAGGAGAGAGCUUUGUUUAACCCUUCAAUCAAAAAAGCAGAAGUGGGGUGGUUUACGCUGGUCCUGAGCAUGACUGUAACUACUACUCUAAUAAAUAAAAACUUCAGGUCACAAAAUAAUUGUUUCAGAACUUGUUUGAAAUCUCUGGAUUCUUUGUUGUUUUGGUUUUUCAUUUUUUGAAUUAUGCAGCACAUGAACAUUUCUUACUGUUAAAACCUUCCUUCAGAAUUUCCACAGGCCUCUCUGCAACCAAAGCAGAUUUUCCCUUGGGGGUUUCCCCAGAUCUGCGGGGUUUUCUUUUCUUCAUUUUCAAACAGAAAAAUGACUAAGGACUCAGGCCCGGUGACUAAGAGCCACAGGAUUUGCAGCAGGAGCCAGAGAUGUCAUGCCAAAGGAAAAACCAGUUUUCGGACAUGAGUCACUCCACAUAGCAAGACACUUCAUGUCUCUCAGACCAGUGCGAUGACCUUUUCCCUGUUCUCCAGGGCUGGUUCCUUCACCACCAGCAAACCUGUACUUGCAAAACGACACCAGGAACAAAGCGGGUUGUUAACCUCAUCACCCCUCUCCUGAACAGCUUAAUUUGUCAUGGUCCCUUGAGGCUUCAUUUCAAAGUUGUCCCCUUGUUUGGCAGCAUAUCUUGCUGAACUCUCUUGUAACUGAUGCUGGCUAACUUCUAGGCUUUUUAGCAUACGCUGCUGCUGACACACAGUUUCAGCACAGGACAUGUGAUGCAUUUAUUAAGGAUCCUGCUCCAGAAAUGUCUGAAUAUACUCGGGUCUCAGCCUUCAUCUGAAAAAUUAAAAAGAAGUUCCUUGCUAUUUGUGGCAGAGUCAUCAUGAAAUUGAGAUUGAGAGCACUUAAAACUAGAAGAUAUGUUAAAAAAAAAUUAAAAAGAAAAAAAGAAAAAAGAUUUCUAAACCAAACUCAUGCUUAAUGAGCCCGUUUUAUUGGUUGCGACACUGCAAUAGGCAGGAGCAUGGCGCUUUUCCUCCUUCAGCUCUUCAGUACUGUUCAAAUGGUCCUACCACUGCCGUAAGUGAUUUCUUUCUCUGCUUUCUGGAAGAUGCUUCUUACUAUGCUCUAUCAUGCUCAUGUUUUAUUUCCAAAUCCCAUCUUAAAAAUAAAGUUUGUCUUCUACUAGCUUUAA